CUACGUGCCAGCAGCCGCGGUAAUACGUAGGUCCCGAGCGUUGUCCGGAUUUAUUGGGCGUAAAGCGAGCGCAGGCGGUUAGAUAAGUCUGAAGUUAAAGGCUGUGGCUUAACCAUAGUACGCUUUGGAAACUGUUUAACUUGAGUGCAGAAGGGGAGAGUGGAAUUCCAUGUGUAGCGGUGAAAUGCGUAGAUAUAUGGAGGAACACCGGUGGCGAAAGCGGCUCUCUGGUCUGUAACUGACGCUGAGGCUCGAAAGCGUGGGGAGCAAACAGGAUUAGAUACCCUGGUAGUCCACGCCGUAAACGAUGAGUGCUAGGUGUUAGACCCUUUCCGGGGUUUAGUGCCGCAGCUAACGCAUUAAGCACUCCGCCUGGGGAGUACGACCGCAAGGUUGAAACUCAAAGGAAUUGACGGGGGCCCGCACAAGCGGUGGAGUAUGUGGUUUAAUUCGACGCAACGCGAAGAACCUUACCAGGUCUUGACAU
rnacentral:rRNA from 1 species